AUUGAACGCUGGCGGCAGGCUUAACACAUGCAAGUCGAGCGGAGAGAGGUAGCUUGCUACUGAUCUUAGCGGCGGACGGGUGAGUAAUGCUUAGGAAUCUGCCUAUUAGUGGGGGACAACAUUUCGAAAGGAAUGCUAAUACCGCAUACGUCCUACGGGAGAAAGCAGGGGAUCCUCGGACCUUGCGCUAAUAGAUGAGCCUAAGUCGGAUUAGCUAGUUGGUGGGGUAAAGGCCUACCAAGGCGACGAUCUGUAGCGGGUCUGAGAGGAUGAUCGGCCACACUGGGACUGAGACACGGCCCAGACUCCUACGGGAGGCAGCAGUGGGAAAUAUUGGACAAUGGGCGCAAGCCUGAUCCAGCCAUGCCGCGUGUGUGAAGAAGGCCUUAUGGUUGUAAAGCACUUUAAGCGAGGAGGAGGCUACUUUAGAUAAUACCUAGAGAUAGUGGACGUUACUCGCAGAAUAAGCGCCGGCUAACUCUGUGCCAGCCGCCGCAGUAAUAC
rnacentral:rRNA from 1 species